AUCCUUGCAUUGCAGACAGCAAUAUAUUCUCUUUUUUGGAUUAAUAUAAAUCUUCUAAACCCAUUUCCAUUAAUGCUACUUUUCGUUUUUUUUUCAGCUAAAGAAAAAGCAUUCAAGAAAAGCACAAGGAUGCCUCGAUUUGACAGUGAUUCUUAUCCUGGUCCAGGUGAUGUCAACGACCAAGAAGCAGAUGACAUCACUGUCAUCUACCCUUCCACCUCUUCCUGUUGCUCAGAUAAUUCGUCCCAUGUACCUGAACUGCACCACUUCAUGGCUGUUGGUCUUGAGGAAGGAAAUGGUUGGCAGCGUAAGUUAGUUAUGCACGGUGACCUCUUAUAUUGCUGUUGAACCUUGUACAAAAUCUUUCAUAUAACUUUUUAAUGUUUGCACCCAUAUACCUACCACAAGCACAGUAUUGUCAUUCUGGUAGGCAUAUGGGUGCACUUAUCUAAAAAUAUGGAGCAUAUGAGUACUAUGGAUAUAAAUUACAAUAUCUGUUAUAUUCAAAAAGCACAGUUUUGUACUUUUCGAAUACAAAAAAAAAUGUGGAACAGAGUAUCUAUAAGCCUAGUGUUACCUGUCUUAGACCUGCUUAAGUAUUCUUAGGCAACCAUAUAAUUUAGGCCUUAUUUUGUAAUUAUAUGUAUUGAACAAGACGCUGAAAAAGUUAGCUUUAUAGGAUGUCUUCGUUAUUGGGUCCUCUACAAAACUAUUAUUACAAAAAAGUGGAUUUUUUUUUUGAGGGUGCAACAGUCCAUGUUUUGUGCAUGUAUCCGUAGUGACUAUAGUUAUAAAACUAUAAUUUCUGGAUGAUUGGCUUGUUUAUCGAUGAGUCUGUCUUGUAUCCUCUGACCUUCAGUAAGUCCUUCUUAAAAUACAGAUCAUAAAGUUA